AGGACGGUAAACUUGGCUUGUGAUAAUUGUUCGGAAUAUUUAAUAAGAGGAUAUUAAAAUCUAGAUAUUUCUUUCUAGCAAGUACGGGAUUUAAUAUAUUAAUUGAUCGUGAUAAUUUUAUUUCAACGGUAUUUGGUAAAAUACAAAAACAGCUCACAAACAAUGCUUGCAAGAAGUGCACAAGCUGUCGGCCAUCGUUUCAGAAACGGACACGCACUUCAUUUGUUACAAACAUGUUCUUUGGCAGUAAAGACUAAUGCCUGUACUAGAAACAUGGAAAAAGAAGUUACUGGAAAGAAAAUGCCGAUCUCACAAACAAUGCUUGCAAGAAGUGCACAAGCUGUCGGCCAUCGUUUCAGAAACGGACACGCACUUCAAUUGUUACGAACAUGUUCUUUGGCGGUAAAGACUAAUGCCUGUACUAGAAACAUGGAAAAAGAAGUUACUGGAAAGAAAAUGCCGAUGGAAGUUAAUAGGGAUUAUUUUUGCCCAGACUUUCAUAUGCUGAUACCACACACGUGCAUUGAAAACAACUCAAAGGGCGUCAUCUAUCUUGUCAAAUGCACGGACGAAACAGACGAAACUGACAACAA
rnacentral:misc_RNA from 1 species